CCUACGGGCGGCUGCAGUAGGGAAUCUUCCACAAUGGGCGAAAGCCUGAUGGAGCAACGCCUCGUGGGUGAAGAAGGUCUUCGGAUCGUAAAACCCUGUUGUUAGAGAAGAAAGUGCGUGAGAGUAACUGUUCACGUUUCGACGGUAUCUAACCAGAAAGCCACGGCUAACUACGUGCCAGCAGCCGCGGUAAUACGUAGGUGGCAAGCGUUAUCCGGAUUUAUUGGGCGUAAAGGGAACGCAGGCGGUCUUUUAAGUCUGAUGUGAAAGCCUUCGGCUUAACCGGAGUAGUGCAUUGGAAACUGGGAGACUUGAGUGCAGAAGAGGAGAGUGGAACUCCAUGUGUAGCGGUGAAAUGCGUAGAUAUUGCGCAGAACUCCGAUUGCGAAGGCAGCAUACCGGCGGCGAUCUGACGCUGAGGCACGAAAGCGUGGGUAUCGAACAGGAUUAGAUACCCCUGUAGUC
rnacentral:rRNA from 1 species